AAGACCUUGCGCUUUUGGAGCGGCCGAUGCCUGAUUAGCUAGUUGGUGGGGUAAUGGCCUACCAAAGCUUCGAUCAGUAGCUGGUCUGAGAGGACGGCCAGCCACACUGGGACUGAGACACGGCCCAGACUCCUACGGGAGGCAGCAGUGGGGAAUUUUGGACAAUGGGCGCAAGCCUGAUCCAGCCAUGCCGCGUGAGUGAAGAAGGCCUUCGGGUUGUAAAGCUCUUUCAGCCGGGAAGAAAAGGUUGCGAUUAAUAAUCGCAAUUUAUGACGGUACCGGAAGAAGAAGCACCGGCUAACUACGUGCCAGCAGCCGCGGUAAUACGUAGGGUGCGAGCGUUAAUCGGAAUUACUGGGCGUAAAGGGUGCGCAGGCGGUUUUGUAAGUCAGUUGUGAAAUCCCCGGGCUUAACCUGGGAACU
rnacentral:rRNA from 1 species